ACCGCUAUGAUGAGGUUAACAUCUGUGUUCUUUGGGCAGUGGUGGGUUUUCUUCCUCACCGUGAGCCUUGAACCAUAAACGACUUCUCCUUCCACUGAGCGUU